GUGGAUUCCAGUAGAGGCGUCACGCGUGGGACGCUCGGUCGACAAUUUUAAAUAUUCCAGGAAGCGAAAGUAACUGCCAGUGCACGUACGGGACCAAGCGGUGAUGCUCGGCUGGCACGUUCGUGGUCAGGACCACUACACCUUGACGGGAUCUAAGAUCCCUUUCCUGGUGCACGUGUGAUCCCAUUCGUUGGAUGACAAGGAAAAUGUUGCUUGACAUUAUAUAAUGCGAUAUUCGAUUAAACUCUGCCACAAGCUGAUAUCAUGGUCUAUUGCAUUGAACGUCUUCCAGGAUCAAUGUUGAGCACAGCAUAAUUGUUUCCGGA